GGUGAGAAAACAAGCAGAGGACAGCAGAAAGGAAGGCCUGACAAGGGUUAACCAGCAGCAAUGGAGAGCUCAGUAGGAUUACAGGAGUGCAGAGGAGCUGCAGAAGGAGAACUGUCCAGUUGUGAGGAGGCAGAAAUGGAGGAGAGAGCGGGCGUGCAGGAGAGGAAGUUGACUGGAUCACAGGAUUUCCGUCAGAGACACUUUGCACUGCAAGAGCAAGCGUGGAUGAGGCAAGCAGGGAAGAAGUUAGGGGAGAUGCUUCAGACCAGCUUUUCAGUUAUCGAAAAUAUUUUUCCAAGCACUGUAAAAGACAGUGAACAUAAUUUAUUAACACAGAGCUUUAAGGGCAGGUUUAUGGCAUCUGAGGCUUUAGAAGAAAGCUUUAGGGUUCUGCUGGUGUAAAAAGAAGUGCCUUUUUGAGGGGAACACGUGAUUUUUCUCUUAAUGUGUGGGGCCGCUUUAAAUUUGUACGGCUGAGUUAUUAAACCAUCGUGGGAAGUGCAGCAGGAGGAGACCCGGGGUAAUUGGCUGCAGCUCCAGAUGCAGCCGCGCGCUCAUUGGAGAGCGGAGGAUUCUCCGAGAACUAAAAUUAGACAAUCUCCGCCCUCCAGAAAUGCUUCUGGAAACAGCGAGCAGGAGAAAUUCUGACACAGCCCCAGGGCCUGUGGAGAGGAGAGGAGAGGAGUGCACAGGACUCCACUCCUGGCCAAACUGCAGCCUCCAAGGAUGCACAGAAAAGAUGUCUGGGGGUUUUUUAACUCGGUUAACUGUAAAAAAAAAUAAAUGCGCGCAAUAAGGAAAUUGCAAGGGAUUAAUGUUAACUGUUUUACACUGAUACUAAAUCCAACAUUUCUUAUGUAAUAAUCCUGAAGUGUUCAUGCAGGCUGAGGAAGCCUUUGACUGCUAAAUUUAAGCUAGGGCUGUCAGACUUGAGCUCACUGAAAAGGAACGAGUCUUGCUGAAUUAAUUCUGAACUAAACUACAAAACUGGUCAACUCUUUCGAUCAGCAAUUUUUUU